AACGAACGCUGGCGGCAUGCCUAACACAUGCAAAUCGAACGAGACCUUCGGGUCUAGUGGCGCACGGGUGCGUAACGCGUGGGAACCUGCCCUUAGGUUCGGAAUAACUCCCCGAAAGGGGUGCUAAUACCGGAUAAUGUCUUCGGACCAAAGAUUUAUCGCCUUUGGAUGGGCCCGCGUUGGAUUAGCUAGUUGGUAGGGUAAAAGCCUACCAAGGCGACGAUCCAUAGCUGGUCUGAGAGGAUGAUCAGCCACACUGGGACUGAGACACGGCCCAGACUCCUACGGGAGGCAGCAGUGGGGAAUAUUGGAAAAUGGGCGAAAGCCUGAUCCAGCAAUGCCGCGUGAGUGAUGAAGGCCUUAGGGUUGUAAAGCUCUUUUACCCGGGAUGAUAAUGACAGUACCGGGAGAAUAAGCUCCGGCUAACUCCGUG
rnacentral:rRNA from 1 species